rnacentral:lncRNA from 1 species
ACACACACACACACACACACACACACACAGACACACUCACAGAAACACACACUCACUCACUCACAGACACACACACAUUGUCACUCACUCACUCACACAGACACACACUAACUCACAGACACACACACACUCAUUCACUCACAGACACACACACACUCAUUCACUCACACACACACACUCACAGACACACACACACUGUCACUCACUCACUCACACAGACACACUCUCACACACACACACACUCACACACACACACACACAACACACACACACACACACACAGACACACUCACAGAAACACACACUCACUCACUCACAGACACACACACAUUGUCACUCACUCACUCACACAGACACACACUAACUCACAGACACACACACACUCAUUCACUCACAGACACACACACACUCAUUCACUCACACACACACACUCACAGACACACACACACUGUCACUCACUCACUCACACAGACACACUCUCACACACACACACACUCACAGACACACACACACACACUCACAGACACACACACACACUCACUCACACACACAGACACACUCACACAGACACACACUCACUGUCACUCACACACACGCUCACAGACAGACACACACACUCACUCACAGACACACACUCACUCACAGACACACANNNNNNNNNNCACUCACACACACUGUCACUCACUCACACAGACACACACACACACUCACAGACACACACACUCUGUCACUCACACACACACACACACACAGACACACUCACUCACAGACACACACACUCACAGACUCACAGACACACUCACUCACAGACUCACAGACACACUCACAGACACUCACUCACAGACACACACACUCACACACACACACACACACACUCACUCACAGACACACACACACUCACUCGCACACACUCAUAGACUCGCACACACUCACAGACUGGCACACACUCACAGACACACUCCCUCACACACACACACACACACACACAGACACACACACUCACAGACACACACACACACUCAUUCACUCACAGACACACACACACACACAGACACACACACACUCACAGACACACACACACACUCACAGACACACUCAUUCACUCACAGACACACACACACACAAGCGUGUCACUGAAAACUGACAUCUGCUGGACACACAGA